UACGGAGGGUGCAAGCGUCGUCCGGAUUUAUUGGGUCUAAAGGGUGCGUAGGCGGUCCAUUAAGUCAGUGGUGAAAGACGGCAGCUCAACUGUCGCAGUGCCAUUGAUACUGGUGGACUUGAAUGCCGAUGAGGCCGGCGGAAUUGGUGGUGUAGCGGUGAAAUGCAUAGAUACCACCAGGAACACCGAUUGCGAAGGCAGCUGGCUAAUCGGAGAUUGACGCUGAGGCACGAAAGCGUGGGGAGCAAACAGG
rnacentral:rRNA from 1 species